rnacentral:misc_RNA from 1 species
AAGUCGUAACAAGGAUCAUUAUCCAACGUUAAGCUGUGAACUUUCGUGCUCUUGCAUCCAGGAACAAUCCUGGUAAAUCAGUCGCAAAAGUAGUUAUUGAUUCAGGACCUCUGCCCAAAGAUGUGAUUGAGCGCUCGAGGCAAGUGGCCUAGUUUCCCAGUCGCAACAACCAGUAGUUACCGUAUGUCUCCUCGACACAGCAAGUGCGCCGUCGCGGGAGAAAAACGAACAACUGUUAAAAUGGAUAUCUUGGUUCUU